UUCAUAUAAAUCAUUAUUUCGUAUAAAUGAAGAAUGAAUCUAUUGAUACUGCUCUGUGAAAUUUGUUAUUUGUGAAGGUAUGGUACGUUGUUAUUGGCGACGACUGGUGUUCCGUAGUUCCUGAUUCAUGGGUUUUUGCAAGUGAGUCGAUGAUUUGGUGGCCACCAAAAGGUAUCAGUGCCACUAUAGCACUAUCAAAGAAAAUGGAACCCAGCGAUACAUGGACUCUAACUCCAUACAACAAGCUCAUUGGCCCAAUUGAUUCCUUCCAAGAAGCUCGGCAAAUCGAAAAAAAAUCAAUAAAUAUUUCAUCGGAUGCUGACACUGAUACCAUGCGUGCUGCAUUUGAAGAGCCAUUGAAACGAUCGCGAAAAGUCCGAGAAGUCUCCUCCGAUGACUCUGUUACUCCAAUGACAGUUCCUCUAAUAAAUCACUAAUUUCCCAACAACGUAGAGGUAAGA